AAACCCUUCUCUGGGGAAGAGGGAAACGGGAGCUGCGGGCUGCCCGGGCAGAUGGAAACGGUCAAAUUGUUAAACAGCCGUCAUGUUACAAUAGGAACAAAUAUUCUCAUGAACCGUUGCACCAGAUAAUGUAAAGCAGACUUCUCCAUGUAUUGGGGGUGAACACUGAAGACAUUACAGUUCAAGCUGUGAAUACACUGGUAAAGUUAAUGCUGCCCAUUGUCCUGUUUUGGUGUAGCACUGAUGCAGAAAUACCUGCUCAGUGUUAUCCCUACUAUCACUGUGACACUUUCAUGCUGUCAGCCCAUCACCUGUGCACUGACUUUUGCCAGCAGUCCAUGCUUUUUCUUUGGGUUAACAGAGAGUAAUCAUUGUUUUCAACCUGUCUGAACCUAUCCUUAGCUAUGUUAAGUAUAGCUAGACAGAGACACUGAUCUUCAGUCCAGGUUUCAUCACAACUGUUAAGAAAAACCAGCAUGUAUGUGUUUGACCAUGCAGCAUAUUGCAUACUGUUUAAUAUGGACAUGGCAAGCUGCUGAUCUAGAAUUAAGAGAGAAUGAAAUAUGAAAUUUAAAAUCAGUGUUUCAAACUAUUUUAUAUCAAGUGUACCAUAGUCAUCAUAAAACAAUAGUAGUAAAUGUGUUCUAGAGAACUUAGACAUACAUUUGCUAAUUAAUUUGAAUGAAAAUUCAUUGAAAAUGGUUACUUGAAAAAUUUGAUGUGUAUUAGAAUCACUUUUAAAUUAUCUUGAAAAUGAGAAGGUACAGGCUUUUCAGACUUUUUGUGUAAUCCCAUUUAA